UUAUGGUGAUGUGAUAGUGAAUGGUUGUAUGGUAUCUAUAUCAGGUUAUGGUGAUGUGAUAGUGAAUGGUUGUGUGGUAUCUAUAUCAGGUUAUGGUGAUGUGAUAGUGAAUGGUUGUGUGGUAUCUAUAUCAGGUUAUGGUGAUGUGAUAGUGAAUGGUUGUGUGGUAUCUAUAUCAGGUUAUAGUGAUAGUGAAUGGUUGUGUGGUAUCUAUAUCAGGUUAUGUGAUAGUGAAUGGUUGUAUGGUAUCUAUAUCAGGUUAUGGUGAUGUGAUAGUGAAUGGUUGUGUGGUAUCUAUAUCAGGUUAUGGUGAUGUGAUAGUGAAUGGUUGUGUGGUAUCUAUAUCAGGUUAUGGUGAUGUGAUAGUGAAUGGUUGUAUGGUAUCUAUAUCAGGUUAUGUGAUAGUGAAUGGUUGUGUGGUAUCUAUAUCAGGUUAUGGUGAUGUGAUAGUGAAUGGUUGUGUGGUAUCUAUAUCAGGUUAUGGUGAUAGUGAAUGGUUGUGUGGUAUCUAUAUCAGGUUAUGGUGAUAGUGAAUGGUUGUAUGGUAUCUAUAUCAGGUUAUAGUGAUAGUGAAUGGUUGUGUGGUAUCUAUAUCAGGUUAUGGUGAUAGUGAAUGGUUGUGUGGUAUCUAUAUCAGGUUAUGGUGAUAGUGAAUGGUUGUAUGGUAUCUAUAUCAGGUUAUGGUGAUGUGAUAGUGAAUGGUUGUGUGGUAUCUAUAUCAGGUUAUGGUGAUGUGAUAGUGAAUGGUUGUAUGGUAUCUAUAUCAGGUUAUGGUGAUGUGAUAGUGAAUGGUUGUAUGGUAUCUAUAUCAGGUUAUAGUGAUAGUGAAUGGUUGUGUGGUAUCUAUAUCAGGUUAUGGUGAUGUGAUAGUGAAUGGUUGUGUGGUAUCUAUAUCAGGUUAUGGUGAUAGUGAAUGGUUGUAUGGUAUCUAUAUCAGGUUAUAGUGAUGUGAUAGUGAAUGGUUGUGUGGUAUCCAUAUCAGGUUAUGUGAUAGUGAAUGGUUGUGUGGUAUCUAUAUCAGGUUAUAGUGAUGUGAUAGUGAAUGGUUGUGUGGUAUCUAUAUCAGGUUAUAGUGAUAGUGAAUGGUUGUGUGGUAUCUAUAUCAGGUUAUAGUGAUAGUGAAUGGUUGUGUGGUAUCUAUAUCAGGUUAUAGUGAUAGUGAAUGGUUGUAUGGUAUCUAUAUCAGGUUAUGGUGAUGUGAUAGUGAAUGGUUGUAUGGUAUCUAUAUCAGGUUAUGGUGAUGUGAUAGUGAAUGGUUGUAUGGUAUCUAUAUCAGGUUAUGGUGAUGUGAUAGUGAAUGGUUGUGUGGUAUCUAUAUCAGGUUAUGGUGAUGUGAUAGUGAAUGGUUGUGUGGUAUCUAUAUCAGGUUAUGUGAUAGUGAAUGGUUGUAUGGUAUCUAUAUCAGGUUAUGGUGAUGUGAUAGUGAAUGGUUGUAUGGUAUCUAUAUCAGGUUAUGGUGAUGUGAUAGUGAAUGGUUGUGUGGUAUCUAUAUCAGGUUAUGGUGAUGUGAUAGUGAAUGGUUGUGUGGUAUCGAUAUCAGGUUAUAGUGAUAGUGAAUGGUUGUGUGGUAUCUAUAUCAGGUUAUGGUGAUGUGAUAGUGAAUGGUUGUGUGGUAUCUAUAUCAGGUUAUGGUGAUGUGAUAGUGAAUGGUUGUGUGGUAUCUAUAUCAGGUUAUGGUGAUGUGAUAGUGAAUGGUUGUGUGGUAUCUAUAUCAGGUUAUGGUGAUGUGAUAGUGAAUGGUUGUGUGGUAUCUAUAUCAGGUUAUGGUGAUAGUGAAUGGUUGUAUGGUAUCUAUAUCAGGUUAUGGUGAUGUGAUAGUGAAUGGUUGUGUGGUAUCUAUAUCGGGUUAUGUGAUAGUGAAUGGUUGUAUGGUAUCUAUAUCAGGUUAUGGUGAUGUGAUAGUGAAUGGUUGUGUGGUAUCUAUAUCAGGUUAUGGUGAUGUGAUAGUGAAUGGUUGUGUGGUAUCUAUAUCAGGUUAUGGUGAUGUGAUAGUGAAUGGUUGUGUGGUAUCUAUAUCAGGUUAUGGUGAUGUGAUAGUGAAUGGUUGUGUGGUAUCUAUAUCAGGUUAUGGUGAUAGUGAAUGGUUGUAUGGUAUCUAUAUCAGGUUAUGUGAUAGUGAAUGGUUGUAUGGUAUCUAUAUCAGGUUAUGGUGAUGUGAUAGUGAAUGGUUGUGUGGUAUCUAUAUCAGGUUAUGGUGAUGUGAUAGUGAAUGGUUGUGUGGUAUCUAUAUCAGGUUAUGGUGAUAGUGAAUGGUUGUAUGGUAUCUAUAUCAGGUGAUGUGAUAGUGAAUGGUUGUGUGGUAUCUAUAUCAGGUUAUAGUGAUGUGAUAGUGAAUGGUUGUGUGGUAUCUAUAUCAGGUUAUGGUGAUGUGAUAGUGAAUGGUUGUGUGGUAUCUAUAUCAGGUUAUAGUGAUAGUGAAUGGUUGUAUGGUAUCUAUAUCAGGUUAUGGUGAUGUGAUAGUGAAUGGUUGUGUGGUAUCUAUAUCAGGUUAUAGUGAUAGUGAAUGGUUGUGUGGUAUCUAUAUCAGGUUAUGGUGAUGUGAUAGUGAAUGGUUGUGUGGUAUCUAUAUCAGGUUAUGGUGAUGUGAUAGUGAAUGGUUGUGUGGUAUCUAUAUCAGGUGAUAGUGAUAGUGAAUGGUUGUGUGGUAUCUAUAUCAGGUUAUGGUGAUAGUGAAUGGU